CAGCAGCCGCGGGAAUACGAAGGGUGCAAGCGUUAAUCGGAAUUACUGGGCGUAAAGCGUGCGUAGGCGGUUUGUUAAGUCUGUUGUGAAAUCCCCGGGCUCAACCUGGGAAUGGCAAAGGAUACUGGCAAGCUAGAGUGUGUCAGAGGAUGGUGGAAUUCCCGGUGUAGCGGUGAAAUGCGUAGAGAUCGGGAGGAACAUCAGUGGCGAAGGCGGCCAUCUGGGACAACACUGACGCUGAGGCACGAAAGCGUGGGGAGCAACAGGAUUAGAUACCCCUGUAGUCCCUGUCUCUUAUACA
rnacentral:rRNA from 1 species